rnacentral:rRNA from 1 species
AGUGAACGGCUGGCGGCAGGCCUUAACAACAUUGCAAGUCGAGCGGCCAGCGCGGGGCAACCUGGCGGCGAGCGGCGGACGGGUGAGGAAUGCAUCGGAAUCUACCCUGUCGUGGGGGAUAACGUAGGGAAACUUACGCUAAUACCGCAUACGACCGAGAGGUGAAAGUGGGGGACCGCAAGGCCUCACGCGAUUGGAUGAGCCGAUGCCGGAUUAGCUAGUUGGAGGGGUAAAGGCCCACCAAGGCGACGAUCCGUAGCUGGUCUGAGAGGAUGAUCAGCCACAUUGGGACUGAGACACGGCCCAAACUCCUACGGGAGGCAGCAGUGGGGAAUAUUGGACAAUGGGCGCAAGCCUGAUCCAGCCAUGCCGCGUGUGUGAAGAAGGCCUUCGGGUUGUAAAGCACUUUUGUUCGGGANGAAAUCGUGCGGAUUAAUACUCUGUACGGAUGACGGUACCGAAAGAAUAAGCACCGGCUAACUUCGUGCCAGCAGCCGCGGUAAUACGAAGGGUGCAAGCGUUACUCGGAAUCACUGGGCGUAAAGCGUGCGUAGGCGGUUCGUUAAGUCUGCUGUGAAAGCCCUGGGCUCAACCUGGGAACUGCAGUGGAUACUGGCGGACUAGAGUGUGAUAGAGGAUGGUGGAAUUCCCGGUGUAGCGGUGAAAUGCGUAGAGAUCGGGAGGAACACCAGUGGCGAAGGCGGCCAUCUGGAUCAACACUGACGCUGAGGCACGAAAGCGUGGGGAGCAAACAGGAUUAGAUACCCUGGUAGUCCACGCCCUAAACGAUGCGAACUGGACGUUGGUUGCAACUUGGCAAUCAGUGUCGAAGCUAACGCGUUAAGUUCGCCGCCUGGGGAGUACGGUCGCAAGACUGAAACUCCAAGGAUUGACGGGGGCCCGCACAAGCGGUGGAGUAUGUGGUUUAAUUCGAUGCAACGCGAAGAACCUUACCUGGCCUUGACAUCCAGUGAACUUUCCAGAGAUGGAUUGGUGCCUUCGGGAACACUGAGACAGGUGCUGCAUGGCUGUCGUCAGCUCGUGUCGUGAGAUGUUGGGUUAAGUCCCGCAACGAGCGCAACCCUUGUCCUUAGUUGCCAGCACGUAAAGGUGGGAACUCUAAGGAGACUGCCGGUGACAAACCGGAGGAAGGUGGGGAUGACGUCAAGUCAUCAUGGCCCUUACGGCCAGGGCUACACACGUACUACAAUGGUCGGUACAGAGGGUUGCAAUACCGCGAGGUGGAGCCAAUCCCAGAAAACCGAUCCCAGUCCGGAUCGGAGUCUGCAACUCGACUCCGUGAAGUCGGAAUCGCUAGUAAUCGCGGAUCAGCUAUGCCGCGGUGAAUACGUUCCCGGGCCUUGUACACACCGCCCGUCACACCAUGGGAGUUGGUUGCUCCAGAAGUAGGUAGUCUAACCGCAGGGGGGACGCUUACCACGGAAUGGUCAAUGACUGGGGUG